rnacentral:rRNA from 1 species
UAAUACGUAGGGGGCAAGCGUUGUCCGGAAUGAUUGGGCGUAAAGGGCGCGUAGGCGGCUUUAUAAGUCUGGAGUGAAAGUCCUCUUUUCAAGGGAGGAAUUGCUUUGGAAACUAUAGAGCUUGAGUGCAGGAGAGGUUAUCGGAAUUCCCGGUGUAGCGGUGAAAUGCGUAGAUAUCGGGAGGAACAUCGGUGGCGAAGGCGGGUAACUGGACUGCAACUGACGCUGAGGCGCGAAAGUGUGGGGAGCAAACAGG